ACUAAGUUAUUUUUGCCAAAGUAAUUCAAUAAUGAACUAGUUCUAUAUAAAAUAUUAAGGCAGUACCUGCUGAUAUUAGUUCAAAUUCAUGUUUUCUAAUGUGCUAAUUAGUUUGCUUAACGUUUCAGUUAACUGAUUUCUUUUAACUUUUUUGGAUAUUAAUGUAAAUUACUUCUUCGUAUGUUUCAAUCAAGGACUCCGUCCGUCAUCCAAAAUGGGAAAUGUCGAUAAUGAAUCCUUAAUGAAUCUAACUUGCAUGUUUUCGUAAUAUAAGGCUGUGGAAAGGCUAUAGAUGACUACCCUCCAAUCCAAAAUUGUUAUGUAGACGGAGUACGCGCUAAUGCAGCUGACGUCAGGAUCAGAAACCUAUUGAUUAAAUAAAUGAAUCAGAUUAGUGAAUCGGUAAAAACUAUGCCAAGUCUUCUAACAAUGCAGCACUAUUUGCGUUACAAUACUACGCGUACAUGUCUUUUGACGCAAUACAGAAAGGAGUUCGAAUCGAGUAAAAUAUCUCUAUUUAUUAAAUAAUAAAAUAAUGAAUUAUAUCAUAA